CUUACAAGCAAGGGGUCGCAGGUUCGAACCCUGCAUCCUCCACCAUUUUCAUUUAAGUUAGCCGGCCUAGCUCAAC
rnacentral:tRNA from 1 species